rnacentral:snRNA from 1 species
UUCGGCAGCACAUAUACUAAAAAAAAAAAAAAUUGGAACGACACAGAGAAGAUUAGCAUGGCCCUGCGCAAGGAUGACAUGCAAAUUCCUGAAGCAUUCCAUGUUAAA